CUAACCACCACCACCACAACAUCUCUAAAUCCAUCAUCUAAUAAUUAUUUAAGUUUCUACAAAAAUCUACAUUCAGAAAGUACACACAAUCAGAAUUUGCUUUGCUAUUCUUCGGACCCAUCGAACAUGCAACAUUCAAACGCUAUUUCCAGCCAGGACGGUAGUGCCCAUGGUCGCUGCCAUCUCUACCCAACAUCCCCAUAUCAUGGCGCACCUAUUGACACCAUGGGUUCCCACUAAUAUCAACAGAUUAUGCAACCCAUUCUUCCAGUUUGCACACAGUGCGCCACGAAAACCAUUUUCUCCUUUGAUUAUUCUCUGACACCGUUUUGAUGAAAGCCUUCAACUGGUGGGUCACCAAAAUUUGGGGCUAAAAGGUUAUUGGGUUACCAAAAUUGAAGGGCUACCAAGGUUGCACCAUUUGGUAUUAUAGUGGUCGGAUUUUAUUGUGUUCAGAUUUUGUUAGGUUACAGUGGUUAAAAGAUGAGUCGUCAUUGAGGGGAUUUUGCUAAUUAUUUUUUUGUUGGAUUAAUCAUUUCGUUGGAUUUCUAUUUGCUG
rnacentral:lncRNA from 1 species